UACGGAGGGUGCGAGCGUUGUCCGGAAUCACUGGGCGUAAAGGGUGCGUAGGCCGCACGGUAAGUCAGAGGUGAAAUCCCGGAGCUCAACUUCGGAAUUGCCUCCGAUACUGCCGUGCUUGAGGACUGGAGAGGAGUCUGGAAUUCACAGUGGAGCAGUGAAAUGCGUAGAUAUUGUGAGGAACACUAGUGGCGAAGGCGAGACUCUGGACAGUUCCUGACGCUGAGGCACGAAGGCCAGGGGAGCAAACGGG
rnacentral:rRNA from 1 species